rnacentral:misc_RNA from 1 species
GUGCGGGCUUUUCAAGUCGGCUCUCCUUAAAUGCAUUAGCGGAAAACCCUUGUGGACCGUCUUUGGUGUGAUAAUUAUCUACGCCAUCGCCGUGAAGCAGCUAUACAAUGGGAACUUCAGCUUCAAACUGUCCUUUUCAGAGGACAAUACUUAAUUGACAUUUUGACCUCAAAUCAGGUAGGACUACCCGCUGAACUUAA